rnacentral:lncRNA from 1 species
CAAAGCCUGGGAAAGGCCGGACUCUGCCAACGAAUCACCAGUGGGCUUGUAGAGAACUGCAGUCCCUCUAUCUGCAUCUGGGGGAAAGCGGAUCUGGAAGGAGGCCACUUAGCAACCAAAAACUCCAAGCGUAGGAUGAGUGUCCAGAUGGUGCAUUACAGGCUGCAGCAGGAAGUGAAGGACAGCUAGAGAAGCAGCUGGUCACAGGCCUGGACUGUGCAUGUUCCCCAGGCCUGUGAUCUCAUUCACACGAUGCUCGUCCCUUGACGUGGCCAAACAGCAUCUGACUUUUCG